AGAGUUUGAUCAUGGCUCAGGACGAACGCUGGCGGCGUGCCUAAUACAUGCAAGUCGAACGAAGCUUUCUUUCACCGAAUGCUUACAUUCACCGAAAGAAGCUUAGUGGCGAACGGGUGAGUAACACGUAGGCAACCUGCCCAAAAGAGGGGGAUAACACUUGGAAACAGGUGCUAAUACCGCAUAACCAUGAACACCGCAUGAUGUUCAUGUAAAAGACGGCUUUUGCUGUCACUUUUGGAUGGGCCUGCGGCGUAUUAACUUGUUGGUGGGGUAACGGCCUACCAAGGUGAUGAUACGUAGCCGAACUGAGAGGUUGAUCGGCCACAUUGGGACUGAGACACGGCCCAAACUCCUACGGGAGGCAGCAGUAGGGAACCUUCCACAAUGGACGAAAGUCUGAUGGAGCAACGCCGCGUGAAUGAAGAAGGCCUUCGGGUCGUAAAAUUCUGUUGUCAGAGAAGAACGUGCGUGAGAGUAACUGUUCACGUAUUGACGGUAUCUGACCAGAAAGCCACGGCUAACUACGUGCCAGCAGCCGCGGUAAUACGUAGGUGGCGAGCGUUGUCCGGAUUUAUUGGGCGUAAAGGGAACGCAGGCGGUCUUUUAAGUCUGAUGUGAAAGCCUUCGGCUUAACCGAAGUAGUGCAUUGGAAACUGGAAGACUUGAGUGCAGAAGAGGAGAGUGGAACUCCAUGUGUAGCGGUGAAGUGCGUAGAUAUAUGGAAGAACACCAGUGGCGAAAGCGGCUCUCUGGUCUGUAACUGACGCUGAGGUUCGAAAGCGUGGGUAGCAAACAGGAUUAGAUACCCUGGUAGUCCACGCCGUAAACGAUGAGUGCUAAGUGUUGGAGGGUUUCCGCCCUUCAGUGCUGCAGCUAACGCAUUAAGCACUCCGCCUGGGGAGUACGGUCGCAAGACUGAAACUCAAGGGAAUUGACGGGGGCCCGCACAAGCGGUGGAGCAUGUGGUUUAAUUCGAAGCAACGCGAAGAACCUUACCAGGUCUUGACAUCUUCUGACAAUUCCAGAGAUGGAACGUUCCCUUCGGGGACAGAAUGACAGGUGGUGCAUGGUUGUCGUCAGCUCGUGUCGUGAGAUGUUGGGUUAAGUCCCGCAACGAGCGCAACCCUUAUUGUCAGUUGCCAUCAUUAAGUUGGGCACUCUAGCGAGACUGCCGGUGACAAACCGGAGGAAGGUGGGGAUGACGUCAAAUCAUCAUGCCCCUUAUGACCUGGGCUACACACGUGCUACAAUGGACGGUACAACGAGUCGCUAACUCGCGAGGGCAAGCUAAUCUCUUAAAGCCGUUCUCAGUUCGGAUUGCAGGCUGCAACUCGCCUGCAUGAAGUCGGAAUCGCUAGUAAUCGCGAAUCAGCAUGUCGCGGUGAAUACGUUCCCGGGCCUUGUACACACCGCCCGUCACACCAUGAGAGUUUGUAACACCCAAAGUCGGUGGGGUAACCUUUUGGAGCCAGCCGCCUAAGGUGGGACAGAUGAUUGGGGUGAAGUCGUAACAAGGUA
rnacentral:rRNA from 1 species